UACGUAGGGUGCGAGCGUUGUCCGGAAUUAUUGGGCGUAAAGGGCUCGUAGGCGGUCUGUUGCGUCAGGAGUGAAAACUCGGGGCUUAACCCCGAGCCUGCUUCUGAUACGGGCAGACUAGAGGUAUGCAGGGGAGAACGGAAUUCCUGGUGUAGCGGUGAAAUGCGCAGAUAUCAGGAGGAACACCGGUGGCGAAGGCGAGUCCCUGGACAGGUCCUGACGCUGAGGCACGAAAGCCAGGGGAGCAAACGGG
rnacentral:rRNA from 1 species